rnacentral:rRNA from 1 species
AUUGAAUGCUGGCGGCAUGCCUUACACAUGCAAGUCGAACGGUAACAGGCCGCAAGGUGCUGACGAGUGGCGAACGGGUGAGUAAUGCAUCGGAACGUGCCCAGUCGUGGGGGAUAACUGCUCGAAAGAGCAGCUAAUACCGCAUACGACCUGAGGGUGAAAGCGGGGGACCGUAAGGCCUCGCGCGAUUGGAUGGGCCGAUGUCAGAUUAGCUAGUUGGUGGGGUAAAGGCCUACCAAGGCAACGAUCUGUAGUUGGUCUGAGAGGACGACCAGCCACACUGGGACUGAGACACGGCCCAGACUCCUACGGGAGGCAGCAGUGGGGAAUUUUGGACAAUGGGCGCAAGCCUGAUCCAGCAAUGCCGCGUGCAGGAAGAAGGCCUUCGGGUUGUAAACUGCUUUUGUCAGGGAAGAAAUCUUCUGGGCUAAUACCCCGGGAGGAUGACGGUACCUGAAGAAUAAGCACCGGCUAACUACGUGCCAGCCGCCGCUGUAACAC